rnacentral:rRNA from 1 species
UGAAGCACGGACCAAGAAGUCUAACGGACACGCAAGUCGAAGGGUCGUAUACGAAACCCCGAGGCGCAAUGAAAGUGAAGGUCGGUGUAGGCCGCCUUCGGUGGGAUCCCAGGUCUACCCACGGCCAGGGCGCACCACCGCCCCGUCUCACCCCGCAUUGUUCGGAGAGGCGGAGGAAGAGCGUGUACGCUAGGACCCGAAAGAUGGUGAACUAUGCCCGAGCAGGAUGAAGCCAGAGGAAACUCUGGUGGAGGUCCGCAGCGAUUCUGACGUGCAAAUCGAUCGCCCGACUUGGGUAUAGGGGCGAAGGACUAAUCGAACCAUUCUAGUAGCUGGUUCCCUCCGAGUUUCCCUCAGGGAUAGCUGGCGCUCAAUUGAAUGAUCAUAUGUUUUAUCUGGUAAAGCGAAUGAUUAGAGGUCUUGGGGUCGAAACGACCUCAACCUAUUCUCAAACUUUAAAUUGGUAUGAACUCCGACUCGCUGACUUGGAGCCGGAGCCUUACAGAUAGAAAUGAGAGCAGCCCAGUGGGCCACUCUUGGUAAGCAGGACUGGCGCUGCGGGAUGAACCGUAAAACGCCGGGUUAAAGCGCUUCACUUCCCGCUCUCUGUCGCUCAUCAGACCCCAGAAAAGGUGUUGGUUGAUAUAGACAGCAGGACGGUGGCCAUGGAAGUUGGAAUCCGCUAAGGAGUGUGUAACAACUCACCUGCCGAAUCAACUAGCCCUGAAAAUGGAUUGCGCUGAGCGUGACGCUUAUACCCGGCCGUCGACGGCAGUAAAGUACGCCUCGACGAGUAGGAGGGACGCCGUGGUGAGCAACGAAGCGACGGCCGAGAGGCCGCGCGGAGCCGCCACGGGUGCAGAUCUUGGUGGUAGUAGCAAAUACUCAAGUGAGAGCCUUGAGGGCCGAGUUGUGGAGAAGGGUUCCAUGUGAACAGCCGUUGCACAUGGGUCAGUCGAUCCUAAGGCCUAGGGUAGUUCCGCUCUGAGCGGCGGUGCGAGCCUGCCUUGUGUGGGUUAGCGCCCCCUGGCCGAAAGGGAAUCGGGUCAAUAUUCCCGAACCUGAAGGUGGAGCCCGCCAACUUUAGUUGGUCAGAGCUGCAAAGCUAGGAGCCCGAA